GAUGAAGAACGUAGCGAAAUGCGAUAAGUAGUGUGAAUUGCAGAAUUCAGUGAAUCAUCGAAUCUUUGAACGCACAUUGCGCCCCAUGGUAUUCCGUGGGGCAUGCCUGUUCGAGCGUCAUUUACCCCCUCAAGCUCCGCUUGGUGUUGGGCGUCUGUCCCGCUUCGCGCGCGGACUUGCCCCAAAGGUAUUGGCAGCGGUCGUGCCAGCUUCUCGCGCAGCACAUUGCGCUUCUCGAGGCACCGGUGGGCCCGCGUCCAUCAAGCUCACCCCCCCAGUUUGACCUCGGAUCAGGUAGGGAUACCCGCUGAACUUAAGCAUAUCAAUAAGCGGAGGA
rnacentral:misc_RNA from 1 species